rnacentral:sRNA from 1 species
GGAUUAUGUUUAUCCAUUACUUCUUCUCUAAGAUAUGGAUGAUGUUUAUCCAUUAUUUCUUCUCUAAGAUAUGGAUGAUGUUUAUCAAUUACUUCUUCGCUAAGUAAGCUCUACUAUAUAUAGCUCAUUUCAUUCAUUUGUAAGUUACAGAGAAAACACAGAGAAAAUAGAAGAGAAAGAGAAAGCAAUAAGAAAACUCUUGUUUCGAGUUUUAUUCUCUCUAGUCUUCAUUAUUUUUUCUUACUUUAAUCUUUUAUAACA